rnacentral:rRNA from 1 species
AAACCAACCGGGAUUGCCUUAGUAACGGCGAGUGAAGCGGCAAAAGCUCAAAUUUGAAAUCUGGUACCUUCGGUGCCCGAGUUGUAAUUUGGAGAGGGCAACUUUGGGGCCGUUCCUUGUCUAUGUUCCUUGGAACAGGACGUCAUAGAGGGUGAGAAUCCCGUGUGGCGAGGAGUGCGGUUCUUUGUAAAGUGCCUUCGAAGAGUCGAGUUGUUUGGGAAUGCAGCUCUAAGUGGGUGGUAAAUUCCAUCUAAAGCUAAAUAUUGGCGAGAGACCGAUAGCGAACAAGUACAGUGAUGGAAAGAUGAAAAGAACUUUGAAAAGAGAGUGAAAAAGUACGUGAAAUUGUUGAAAGGGAAGGGCAUUUGAUCAGACAUGGUGUUUUGUGCCCUCUGCUCCUUGUGGGUAGGGGAAUCUCGCAUUUCACUGGGCCAGCAUCAGUUUUGGUGGCAGGAUAAAUCCAUAGGAAUGUAGCUUGCCUCGGUAAGUAUUAUAGCCUGUGGGAAUACUGCCAGCUGGGACUGAGGACUGCGACGUAAGUCAAGGAUGCUGGCAUAAUGGUUAUAUGCCGCCCGUCUUGAAACACGG